ACAAUGAAGAGUUUGAUCCUGGCUCAGGAUGAACGCUAGCGGCAGGCUUAACACAUGCAAGUCGAGGGGCAGCGAGUGAGUAGCAAUACUUAUGUCGGCGACCGGCGCAAGGGUGCGUAACGCGUGAGUAACAUGCCCGUAUCAGGGGGAUAAGCGAUGGAAACGUCGUCUAAUACCGCAUAACAACAGGAUAGGCAUCUAUUCAGUUUGAAAGUUUCGAUGGAUACGGAUUGGCUCGCGAGACAUUAGCUGGUUGGCGGGGUAACGGCCCACC
rnacentral:rRNA from 1 species